rnacentral:lncRNA from 1 species
ACAUUUUGGAUAUAGUGGUUGCUCCAGUGGAUAUGGUCAGUGAAGCUCUUGUGCAAAUGUUAAGUGGGAUCAAGACUGUUAUACUUUAUAUUUCCUCCAUGUUUGGGGGCAUUGAAGGUACUGCAAAGCACCAACAUUGUAUAUAUACACUCACAGAAUCUAUUGCAUCUAUAUAGGUGCAUGCAUCUUGUCAAUAAUUCCCAAAAUAAGCAUUGAUCCUGUAUAAAGAUCUGCUUUUUGGACUUAUUUUUACACUUAACAGGGUACACAGGCAUCACUGAAACAGUGAACCUUGGUGGCACUGUACUGGAUGAGGUUACUGACUGGAUUAGAUUCCCAGUGGCCUACUUAUUCCAUUUAUUUGAAGAUAUCCUGGAUGUAGCAAUCAUUUAUCCAGCAGACAUUGCCAGUGAAGCAGCUCUGCAAAUUUUAAGUGGGAUCAAGAACAUUUCUUCAACCAUAUUCGGGAACCUUGAAGGUAUUUAUUUCUUGCAACAUUUUAGACAUUCAGUGAUAUAAUUUACACAAAGUUACUGCAUUUUUACUCAAAUAAAUGCAGCGUUGGUGAGCCUAAGAAAUGUUAAAAAAAUUGCACUGACCCCACACAUUUAGUAGUGCAUAAAUAUCAAAAGAGUUCAAAUAAAUGCACUGUUUCAGCUUGGUUUCCCAAAACGAGCACUGAUCCUGCGGGGCUGGCUGAAAUAGUUGUAGAGGAGGCUGCAGAAGUAAAGACCACUGUUUCUAAUUACCUAUCAAGUCUGUUUGCAGCGGAUGAAGGUAUUGUUCAUUUAUCAGCUCAAAACAUUGUGUUUAAUUAAUAUUCAAUAUUUGAUUAGUAAAAGAGUAUUCAGUUGCAUUAUAUUAUUUCAUUUUUUCCAGGUGGUAUUUCUGACAUUAGCUUUGAUCCCAUGAAAGUUGUCACAGACACUGUUGAGGAGUUUGCUGACAGGAGGGAUAUGUUCUUGGCUUAUCUCUCAAACAUGCUCAUGGAAGACAAAGAUGACACACCGCAAGUGGUAAGACGAAAAGGAGAAUUUCUGCCCCCUAUGGAAAAAGUUGCAGAAAUACUAGGCAAAACACAGGACCCUGCCUAUGCUGCCUACAUUGCUGUGAGAUCCACACACAGUACUAAACAGGAAAUAAAAGAGGUAGAAGCCGCUGAAGAUACAACUGAAAAAGCUCAAGAUGUUGUGGACGUUCCAAAGGAUGAAGGGAUGGUUGAAACGGCUUUGGGCAGCUCUGAUGUCACAAUUGAAGACGAUGAGGUUGCCUCCGAUGACAUGGAGGAGGAUAAAACUGCUGGAACAGUUGAAGAUAUUGCAGAUGUCACAGAAGAGGAACCUUCUGUUAUGCAAGAAGACAUAGAUGGGGAAACAGAACCUGAAAAGUUUGAGGUUAUCUCUGAUUUUGCAGAGGACGACUCAACUGAUAUGACUUCUGAUGCUACAGAUGUGAAGGACAUGGAUGAUACCUCAGAUUUUGCAACAGCAGGUGAUGAAGUUACUGAAACAGUUGAAGAUAUUUUGGAUGUUACAGAAGAGGAACUUUCUGUUAUGGCAGAAGUCAUGGGUGAGGAAAAAACAACUGAAAAGGCUGAAGAUAUCUCAGAUUUUGUAGAUGAUAAAUCAACUGAAAUGACAUCUGAUGCUACAGAUGUUGACGCUGCCUCAGAUGAUAUUAAAGAGGAGGAAGAAGUUACUGAAACAGCUGAAGAUGCAGAUGUAACAGAGGAGGAACCAUCAGAUAUACCAGAAGUCAUAGAUGAGGAAACAGCGACUGAAAAGGUUGACGAUAUCUCAGAUUUUGCAGAGGACAAAUCAACUGAAAUUACUGAAUCUGAUGAAUUUGAUGCUACAGAUAUGAAAGACACUGACAAUACCUCAGAUGUUGUUACAGAGGAAGAAGUUACUGAAACAGUUGAAGAUGUAGAUGUUACAGUGGAGGAAACAUCUGAUAUUCCAAAAGUAAUAGAUGAGGAAAUAACAACAGAAAAGUUUGAAGAUAUCUCUGAUUUUAAAGAGGACGAAUCAGCUGAAAUGACCUCCGAUGUGACAGAAGACACUGAUGCUCUUACAGAGGAGGAAGUAGUUACUAAAACAGCUGAAGAUAUUCCAGAUGUUACAGAGGAGGAAACAUAUGACAUUCCAGAAGUCAUAGAUGAGGAAUUAGCAACUGAAAAGCCUGAUGAUAUCUUUGAAUCCAUAGAGGACGAGUCAACUAUGAUGACUUCUGAUGUGACAGAAGACACUGAUUAUGCCUCAGAUGUUGUUACAGAGGAAGAAGUUAUAAAAUCAGUUGAAGAUAUUGCAGAUGCUACAGAGAACAAACCAUCUGAUAUGCCAGAAGUCAUUGACAUUGAUGAUACCUCAGAUCAAGAUACCUCUGCAGUUAUAGAGGAGAAAGAAUCAACUGAAACAAUUGAAGAAGCAGCAAUUGAAACAGCAGAAGGUACUUCCUAUGUUACAACCAAAACAGAAUUAGAUAAUACAGAUGAAAAUGAAAUUCAGAAAUACCCCAGUGUUACAGAGGAGGAGGAAGAACCUGAAAAAGUUAAAGAUACUUUUGAUUUCAUAAGUGAGGAAGAAAAACCUAAGACAGAUGAAGAUGCCAGCACUGAAGAAACAGCCAAAGAGUCACUAGAAAAAGACCCUUUAUUGGCUGAAGCUACUCCAGAUGCCAUCUGUGUAAAGGAAAAGACUGAAGCAACAGAACUUGAUGAUCUUGAAGUCCUGGGUGAGGAUGACAUGAAAGUGGAAGGCAAGGAGGAGAAGGUAGAUGUGGCAAUUGCUGAUGCUGAAAGUGGUACAAAGAACCUGGAGAUUGAUUUAGAUGAAGAUGAGGUUGAGGUUUUAAAAGAGGAGACUAAAGAUCAAACUAUCUUGGGAACCACUGCUGGUGAAGAUGACAAUGAUGAUGAAGAGAAGCUUCUCCUUUCUCCUGUCCAGCAGGACCUAACAAACAGAGAUGAUGAAAAUAACAAUAACAAUGACAGAAAGAAAGAUGCCAUAAAAAGAGGCCUGAGCGGGAGAAAAACAUCAAAGAGUCAUUCCACUGAAACAGAUGACCAAGAAGCGCACACGCAUCUUCAUGAAGAUAUGAGGGAGAAGAAGGCUGAUGGUGAAGAGGAAGAGAUAACACUACAACAAAUAAACAUAACAGUAGAAAAAGUCAAGAAGAGAAAAGAACACGAGAAAAAGGAGAUAGAAAAUGCUAAAAGAAAAGAAAAAUCCAAAGAGGACAAGACUCGAGAACCAACAAGUAAGAUUCAGUGUCGACUAGUAGGAGCUGUACCGUUUAGUCGACUAGUCGACUAGACCCGCACAUCCCUUAUACAUAUGUGAGUUCUCUCUUUGUCAGUAUGCUAAAAAUGACAGUCUCUCUGUCACACACAGUCAGUGGCCUUUACUUUUUUUUAUUUACUUGUACUCUGUUAAAAGCUAUUUCCUUUAUUUCUAAACUGUGGUGUACCAAGAUGUCUUACUAACAUACGCAAACACAAGGGUACAUGCCAAGAUGUCUUACUAACAUACGCAAACACAAGGGUACAUGCAUAAGUGUACUUUUAGACUUUUUAGAGUUUCACUCACAAAGAAAGAGUUCUGCUACCAACAGCAGCCUGCAAUAUCUUCUUUUCUCUCGGAAACAAAUAUAAUAUAGAUUUUGACACCUGGUUUUAAACGACUACAAACCGCAGGAUGAUACAACACAAUGCUGUUAAACUACAGCAGCAACAGCUGAUGUCAGAAUCUAGACAGCAAUGAGAUUAGAGUCACUGUAACUAAGCCCCAGAUGAUUUGAGAAUCACGGGACUCCCCUAAUACCCCUCACGUCUCACUCACCCACAUGCACCGUUAGCACAAAUCACAGUCUAAAGGACACAGCACUGCACUCUACAACUCAGAUCAACUAAACCUCAAGAUCAAGCUCUCAAAAGAGUAGAGUCAUGUAAAAGUACAACCUGAUGGAGGAGUCAAAAUCAUCCAAACGUCUUCUUUCCUCACCAGAAACUUUUAGAGAAAGCAAGAGAGAGGGGGGAAGAGAGUAAGAGAGAAAGAAGAGAAUGGAGACAGAAAGAAGGUUGACUGAGGAUGGGGAAAGAGAGAGCAUGCAGUCUGUCCUAAGAGAGUGGGAGGGUCAAAAAGUGAGCUGGUGAGAGAGAGAGGGAAGGGGGGGGGGCGGGGCGUCGACGAGAUAGCAGCAGAUUCNGCUGACAAAGCAUGCUCCUCUGAUGACAGGGUCGAAAAGUAGAGCUGGNGUGAGAGAGAGAGAAGGGGAGGGGGGGGCGCUCACAGAUAGCAGCAGAUUCUGCUGACAAAGCAUGCUUCCUCUGAUGCAAAAACCUAUUAUAUAUGCAGAUCAGAAUCAACCAAUAACUUAUAGCUUAUGAUAAAAUAAACUCAGCAAGCCAGUGAGGCAAUUUACAGUAACUCAGUAUCAUACAGUAUCAUUUGUUGUUCCAAACCUGCAUGAAAAAUAUAUUUUGGAGAGCACUGGGGUCCAAACAACAUUAAACCCCUGUUCCUUUCAUUGCAUGGACAAAAAUUAAACCAUUUAGGAAAUCUUGUUUUGUGUUGCACGGAAGAAAGCCCCAGAGAUUCGGAGCGACAUGAGGGUGAGUAAAUGAAGACAAAAUACUAAUUUUGUGGAUUGUUCCUUUAAGGUGCUGUGAAUCACUCCCUCUGUUGGCCAUUCGUUAGACAAAGAUAUAAACCAGUUCCAAACUCACACUCACUUUGUUAGGCUGGACAGAGAGAUUAAACCUGCCUCAAAGCUACAGAUUUCACACGUUUGGGGGAAUCAGUCAUCUCUGCAUAAUAAGCUUUGACAGCAGGAAAAAAAGAGACACCUCAGACUGCCCAUUUAAACAGCUAACAUGAGCAAAGUUACUAUUAUAUGCACAAACACACAUGGUUUCCUAUGGGGAGAACAUCAACCAUGAGUGAGUGAGUGAGUAUGUGGGCGCGUGUGUGUACGUGUGUUGUGCCGGGGGAAAGUGUGAGGGUGUGUAUGUCUGUGAACUCUGAUGUGACAGAGAGAAGGAUCCCUUCGAUCAGAGUGUGAUGCCACUGCCGCAAACAGUGUGUGUGUGCGCCUGAAUGCUGCCCGUGUGGUUUGGACCGCAACAGAUUUUUGUCCUAUAAUGACUGAUAGACCGAUCUCAG